rnacentral:misc_RNA from 1 species
AACGCACGAGACCUGCGGACCUGCGGAAGGAUCAUUACUGGACUUAUUUGUCAUAUGCCGGUUGGUGUAGUGGUGUGAGUGUGGUGGUGGUGUGGUGUUUGGGUGCGAACCCUCACCCUCACCCCGCCUCGUCUCACCCGCACCAGCCUGCAGUCAAACAACACACACUUUUAUACUGAAAUGACUGAAUCUCUUAUUAAAAGAUACAACUUUCAACAAUGGAUCUCUAGAUCGGAAGAG